rnacentral:rRNA from 1 species
CGCUGGCGGCGUGCCUAAUACAUGCAAGUCGAGCGAAUGGAUUGAGAGCUUGCUCUCAAGAAGUUAGCGGCGGACGGGUGAGUAACACGUGGGUAACCUGCCCAUAAGACUGGGAUAACUCCGGGAAACGGGGCUAAUAACCGGAUAACAUUUUGAACUGCAUGGUUCGAAAUUGAAAGGCGGCUUCGCGUCACUUAUGGAUGGACCCGCGUCGCAUUAGCUAGUUGGUGAGGUAACGGCUCACCAAGGCAACGAUGCGUAGCCGACCUGAGAGGGUGAUCGGCCACACUGGGACUGAGACACGGCCCAGACUCCUACGGGAGGCAGCAGUAGGGAAUCUUCCGCAAUGGACGAAAGUCUGACGGAGCAACGCCGCGUGAGUGAUGAAGGCUUUCGGGUCGUAAAACUCUGUUGUUAGGGAAGAACAAGUGCUAGUUGAAUAAGCUGGCACCUUGACGGUACCUAACCAGAAAGCCACGGCUAACUACGUGCCAGCAGCCG